UACGAAGGGGGGCUAGCGUUGUUCGGAAUUACUGGGCGUAAAGGGCGCGUAGGCGGUCUGAUAAGUUAGGUGUGAAAUUCCCGGGCUUAACCUGGGGGGCUGCACUUAAUACUGUUGGGCUUGAAUUCGGGAGAGGAUAGUGGAAUUCCCAGUGUAGAGGUGAAAUUCGUAGAUAUUGGGAAGAACACCAGUGGCGAAGGCGACUAUCUGGACCGACAUUGACGCUGAGGCGCGAAAGCGUGGGGAGCAAACAGG
rnacentral:rRNA from 1 species